rnacentral:rRNA from 1 species
UUGGAUCGCAUGGUCAAAAGAGAAAAGGUGGCCUCUUAACAAAGCUGCCGCUUACAGAUGAAUCCGCGUCCCAUUAGCCAGUUGGUGGGGUAAAGGCCUACCAAAGCGACGAUGGGUAGCCGGCCUGAGAGGGUGACCGGCCACACUGGAACUGAGAUACGGUCCAGACUCCUACGGGAGGCAGCAGUGGGGAAUCUUCCGCAAUGGGCGAAAGCCUGACGGAGCAACGCCGCGUGAGCGAAGAAGGUCUUCGGAUUGUAAAGCUCUGUGAUAUUGGACGAAAAAAAUGACGGUACAAUAAGAGGAAGCCACGGCUAACUACGUGCCAGCAGCCGCGGUAAUACGUAGGUGGCAAACGUUGUCCGGAAUUACUGGGCGUAAAGGGCGAGUAGGUGGUUUGCUAAGUCAGAAGUGAAAACUCCGGGCUCAACUCGGAGACUGCUCCUGAAACUGGUAGACUUGAGUGCAAGAGAGGGAAGUGGAAUUCCUAGUGUAGCGGUGAAAUGCGUAGAUAUUAGGAGGAACACCAGUGGCGAAGGCGACUUCCUGGCUUGUAACUGACACUGAGGCGCGAAAGCGUGGGGAUCAAACAGGAUUAGAUACCCUGGUAGUCCACGCCGUAAACGAUGAGUGCUAGGUGUCGGGGGUAUCGACCCCCUCGGUGCCACAGCUAACGCAAUAAGCACUCCGCCUGGGGAGUACGGUCGCAAGACUGAAACUCAAAGGAAUUGACGGGGGCCCGCACAAGCGGUGGAGUAUGUGGUUUAAUUCGACGCAACGCGAAGAACCUUACCAAGGCUUGACAUCCCGUGACCGCUAUGGAAACAUGGUCUUUCGCCUUCGGGUGAACACGGAGACAGGUGGUGCAUGGUUGUCGUCAGCUCGUGUCGUGAGAUGUUGGGUUAAGUCCCGCAACGAGCGCAACCCCUGUGUUUAGUUGCUAACGCGUAGUGGCGAGCACUCUAGACAGACUGCCGGUGAUAAACCGGAGGAAGGUGGGGAUGACGUCAAAUCAUCAUGCCCCUUAUGUUCUGGGCUACACACGUGCUACAAUGGCCGGUACAGACGGAAGCGAAGCCGCGAGGUGAAGCAAAACCGAGAAAGCCGGUCUCAGUUCGGAUUGCAGGCUGCAACUCGCCUGCAUGAAGUCGGAAUCGCUAGUAAUCGCAGGUCAGCAUACUGCGGUGAAUACGUUCCCGGGCCUCGUACACACCGACCGUCACACCACGAAAGUCUGCAACACC